rnacentral:rRNA from 1 species
GACGAACGCUGGCGGCGCGCUUAAUACAUGCAAGUCGAGCGAGAACCAGAGCUUCGGCUCUGGGGACAGCGGCGAACGGGUGAGUAACACGUGAGUAAUCUGCCCUCGGCACCGGGAUAGCCCGGGGAAACCCGGAUUAAUACCGGAUGGCCUCUCGAGCUUUCGGGCUCGUGAGAAAAGGUAGCUUCGGCCUCCGGCCGAGGAGGAGCUCGCGGCGGAUUAGCUGGUUGGUGGGGUAACGGCUCACCAAGGCGACGAUCCGUAGCUGGUCUGAGAGGACGAUCAGCCACACUGGGACUGAGACACGGCCCAGACUCCUACGGGAGGCAGCAGUAGGGAAUCUUGCGCAAUGGGCGAAAGCCUGACGCAGCGACGCCGCGUGCGGGAAGAAGGCCUUCGGGUUGUAAACCGCUUUCAGGAGGGACGAAGCCACUCGGGUUAAUAGCCCAGAGGGUGACGGUACCUCCAGAAGAAGCCCCGGCUAACUACGUGCCAGCCGCCGCCGUAAAAC